CCAAGGAGCACACUGGGCAGGUGAAGUUUGUAUAGUGUGUGAACGAACAGAACGGUUUUAUGUCCAAGAGAAGCCUGAUCGGUUACAGCUCAGAAAGUGUGGACCAGUGAAGCCGGGACUCCCAAUGUAAAGGAUGUGAAGUAGAUACCGACACAAGUACUCAGUAGAUCCGACGGAGAGUUGCUGAUUAGUUCCCGAUGUUAGAAGAGUGUGGCUAAUGGUUGAGCAUGUGGCGGUAGAACGGGUGGAAGUCUACCCUUCCCUCUCUCUGACUGAAAAUCAGGACAAUUCAGUGUUUCGGUCCACCACCCAGUACCCAAACGCCCUGCAUAACACUGGAAACACAUGUCAUGUGACCGGACAUAUUACUGGGGCCUGUUUCACAAAGCGAUCGUAGCACUACGACUGUCGUAAGUGUAUGUCUAAGUAUUGGAGU